UAAAAGCACAGGUGAUAGGAAGCUUAGGAAUUCGCUUCCUCUUUGUCUGGUGGCUGCAGUGGCAGGUUGGCGUGGCUGGGUGCAGGAGGACAUUCCGAAAGGCUGUGGGCAAGCACGGUUGUGGACCGGAGCGAUCGCGCUGCGGCUGGUACCUGGAUGUGGAGUAUAGCCGCAGGGAUUGCAUCAUUGGCUGCCCCUCCUCCUCUACUCCGGAUAACACGGCGCGUUACCGGCACGGAUACAGGUGGCGACUCGGCGGAAGUGAUCAUCGGCAGCCCUGCUGUUCUGGCGUGCCUGAACUGACUACAUUGGACGGAUUAUUCUGGACUUGUGGCGCUGA